UGGGGAAUUUUGCACAAUGGGGGAAACCCUGAUGCAGCGACGCCGCGUGAUUUAGAAGGCCUUCGGGUUGUAAAAAUCUUUUCUAUGGGAAGAAAAUGACAGUACCAUAGGAAUAAGGACCGGCUAAUUACGUGCCAGCAGCCGCGGUAAUACGUAAGGUCCGAGCGUUGUCCGGAAUCAUUGGGCGUAAAGGGUACGUAGGCGGGUAAGCAAGUUAGAAGUGAAAUCCUAUAGCUCAACUCUAGUAAGCUUUUAAAACUGCUCAUCUUGAGGUAUGGAAGGGAAAGUGGAAUUCCUAGUGUAGCGGUGAAAUGCGCAGAUAUUAGGAGGAAUACCGGUGGCGAAGGCGACUUUCUGGCCAUAACCUGACGCUGAGGUACGAAAGCGUGGGUAGCAAAAAGG
rnacentral:rRNA from 1 species